CAGGCUUCUUGGACUUUAUUUAUUCUAUUUCAAAUGCUUUGCAAUAGUCUCAGGAAUUAAUCAUAUUCCUCUUAAAUGAGAUGAGGAAGUUUAAAGGCUUUGUUGAGUUCACUGUGUUUUUAUGUUAUAAUCUUUCUUUAUGUUAUUGUUUUGUGUAGAAACUAGGAUGAUCUAUAUAGUUUCUUCUUCUUCAUGUUUUCUACAGUAUAUAUCUUUUACCAAACUGUACAGUAACACUUUUGAAGUAAUGAAAAUGUGUUUUUAUUUUUUUACUUUUGGACAUAUCACUCUGUUUGUUUGUUUUUCUUUUUUGCUUACAUAGCCAAUCAGGUGGAUAAGUUAAUAUUUAUCUAUUACAUAUUUGGUUUUGAAAAGUAGUGGAUACAAUAAGUUACUAAAGAGUAACUGAAAUAAUAAGUUACCUUUUCGAAAAUAUCAAAGUUACUAAAAUAUAAGUAAAAUUAAAAUAAUAAAUUACUAAAGUAAUGAGGCUACGAAUGUUAUCAAAACAAUAAGACAUAUUUUUAAAAGUAACAAAGUAUUAAGUUUCUAAAAACUAAUUAACACUAAUAUAUCACGUUGGAGUUAGUGACCGAUAGGAAAUUAAAAUAGUUUAAAAGGUUAAUUUAUGGCGAGCUGGCAAAAGAAUAAACUUAUGUGGUCUUCUUGUAUUGUGAAUCUUGUAAUACAAUCAUACAAGGUUAAUUUAUGGUCAGCUGGCAAAAGAAUAAAUUCAGAUUUUUUAAAAAUGUAUUCUCUAAAUUGGAGCCUCUUUAGAGAAAUUUUGUUUGACCAACAUUAUGCAUUAAACUUUUCCAGCUGUUUUGACUGUUAGUUUCAGUAUUUUGAUUUUUUUGUACAAUUUUUUAGGACUUGGCAUUUGGUUUAUCACAUUCAGCACUGCUUGGGGAUAAUAUCUACAACUUUGGCGAGCUGCUGGCACAUCCUAUUAGUUAAUUUAACAGAUGGUCUUGAAGGGCUGGCUGGGCGGACUGUUGCCUUGGCAUUUGUUGGAAUGUCAAUUGCAGUGCUUCCAAUAUGUCCUAGUUAGUAUGAAUCUUCUUGAAAUUAGAAUAUGAUGUUUGAAUAUUAAGAAUUAACAGUUGGAUAA